CCCCACCCCCGUCGUCCCCCUGUGUGAGUCCCUCAUCUCAGCUGUGGUUGCUGUGCAGAUGGCUCUUUGUUGGUGCUUCACAAUGAGUCUAAGCUUUCUAGAGUCAAGGUCGCUGUGGAAACUCUGUAUCCUGUAUCCAAGGUGACUUUUUCCCUCAUCAGUUUCCUUCAACACCUCCAACACGGGCUUCCAUGCCAGCUGGGCAAAAUAGUCCCUGCAGUAUGUCUCAGGUCUGUUCUGGGUUCUUUUCCAAAGCCUUCAGGUGCAGGCUCCCACGGGCAGCCCACCCUGUGUGGCCUCUGAGGUUUUUAGAGGGUUUGUAGCUGCACUUUUUAAAUGUUUGUCCUCUCCAGCAUUUUACUCUCAUUCAUCUCAAAGUCUACUCUAUGCCCAUCUACCCACAUUCAUUCACAAUGCUACCCUAAAAUAUCUGAAUAACUUCACCUCCUUUACCCUCACUCGGAUGUGUUUAAGACACCUUUAAUGGAGACUUUUAGCUUCAGAGAUAUUAUACCCCAUCCUAUUUACUUUACACCCAGCAGCAGUUGGCUCCUGUGCAUCAGAAACACAGCCAGAAACAGCAUAACAGGAACAACAUUCUCUAGAGCUCUGCUGCACUUUGAUAUACUGCCCCUGAUUAUCACAAACAAGGGAAGAGACAACGCACAUCCUCGAGUAAAUCCAACACACAUUUUGAACUGGCUAGAGAUAGUGACAAACACUCCUCUAAAUCCGAGGGUACAGGAACUAAAAGACUUGCAGACAUGGAAAACAUGAGCAGUGGCAUUUUCCAAAUCCUCAAAGCACCUACAGACUAAUCCAUGCAACACUGAGGAGACAUGUCAGCCACAACACCCCAAACAAUAUCCAACAAUAUCCAGAGCCGCAGGAUACCAGGAUCUGUUGGCAACCUGCCACAGAGGGGCCUGAUUUACAUUAUGAUUUGUCUGAGCAGCACAGAAAGCCAGGCGGACCAUGCAGGACACUGCUGUUCAAAACAAAAGAGCUAAGUUUGCUCCCCCCUGAUUCCUCCAAUUAUCAGGACCCUUCCCCCACCUAAUCCUGACCUCUGCUCUUUGAUGGGCCCCACUUUGCUCUCCCCCUGCAGCCCUGACAUUCCUCAAGUCAGGUCCGUCUUUUGUCCUCAAGAAAUUAAGGUGCAAUUAAGGUGCUGCACUUCCCAUCCGAUAUUCUCUGAGCUGUUAGCAUGAUAGAGAGCAGCUUAACUUUCAAGGAACUGUUUCCCUCGGGCUGCAGGAGCUGAUGCAAACAUUUAAUUAGCUUUCAAACAUUCAUUGUGCACACAAAGAAGCUUUUCUUUCAUACUGUAUUGCUUUCAAUGGCAUAAAAAAUGUUUUCCAGUUUCUACAUGGGGAAAGUGUGGUAAACACUCCAGCUGUUGGCAUAUGAGAGGUUUAAUAAAAAUCCCGACAUAAACUCUAUCCCUGUUUCAACUUUCCCCCGACUGCCCUACUUUCUGCUUCACAUCUCUACCUGCAGAAUGAACAGGCGGCCCAUGGAUUUUUUUUUUUACUCUGUAACAGAUUGGUGGCGCAUGGAAACAUGUUGAGUUAGGCAAAUAAGAAAAAAAGAGACAGGAAAUGAUCUCACAAACACUCCCCCUCCUCUCUGAUUGCUCCCAUUUUCCAGUUACAGAAAAAGAGUGAGUAAUGCUUUCUGCUGCUCUUUAGGCUGCUCCUCUGUUCUCUGUUUCUCCCAUGGCAUGGAUCUACUUAGGUCUCUACACACACUGACAACAUAACACAGCAUUGUGGAUAUCUGCUCUAAUGCCCUGCAGUCUCCACAUGGUCUUCAUUUCCCUGUUGAAAUGGUACCACACUUCUGGAAAAAGAUAGAUGAGACUUGAGAAUGUUCUUUAUUGCCAUUCUUUGAACUUAUUUUAACCAAAAGAAUUAUAAAAUUAUAAUCAGUAAUUGUAAAGCAAACAUUUUCUCAGUGUAGUUGAGUAAUGGUUCAACAAGAGUCUCAGCUUAAUAGAAAAACACUCUUAUAUGAGACAUAAAAUAAAUCUUAAAGUAACCAGCUAGCACACUGACACGACCCUUUGAUCUCUGCAUGUAAUUACAGUCUUUAUAAUUAUAUUUCAGCUGAAUGUGAGGUGAAUGACUAAAUAGUGCCUGAAGGUUUCUUCAAAAUCAGUUCUUUGAAUACAGGCAUGGCAGGGAGAAGAUAACUGAGGAAGCAUGGGAUUAGCUCACAGGACGCCCCUAAAUUAGAGCUCGAAGCCAUACUUCAUGUCAGGGCAAGUUCAGGACACAAACAUUAAUAAGGCUGUCUACAACUGUUUGAAGUCCAGGUUGAAGCAGUGUGUCAUAGUAUGUGGAGUACACACAUUUUUUUAAAGCAAGUGGAAGUUACUCUGCUUCUCUGACAGCUGAUAACUGCAGGUAAAUGUUUUAUGAAAAUGAGUGAUAGCAGUGUGUGCGCGGGAAAAAAUGACAGGCGUGGCAAAUGAGGUUUUUUAAGGUGAAAUGAUUUUGUUGAAACUUCAGGUAUGCAAUUGUUGGUCACACCGGCAAAAAAGCUGUGAUAAAAACAAUAUUUAACUAAUUUUUUUAACAAACAGUGAGGCCCUGGCCAUAUUUAGGCAUGAAUUACAAAGUUCAAGGCCCAAAAACUGUUUCUUACCACUUCCUUUGGUUUUACAGUUGGAGUCAAUGGCUGCUAUAAAAAAAAAAGAGAGAAGAAAAUAAUGUGAAAGAACUUCUACAGCCAGUUUGGCAUAUCACACAACACUCUGUAAGAAAGAGAUUAAAGAGCUCCUAAUUGUUAGGGAAAGAGGACACUUCAGGAGAAAUAAAAAAUGUAAUCAUUUAACAUUUCAUUUACAGUUAAACAUGGAAUAUGAAUUAACAGUGCUGUUGUUUUGCUGUCUUUGGGGUCUGGCACAUAUCACCAGACACAUCAUAUACAUGAGGGCACACUAUAAUUUAGAUUUUAUGACUGUUAAAUGGAUUAGUUUUUAUAGCAAGGGUACCGUUAUGAUGUGCAUUUUAGACCUGACUUCAGUCCAGCCUUUCAUCAUCUUUGAAAAACUGUUCUCCUCAGGAAAUUAAAAAUGUGCUUAAUCUUAGACAACAGCUGCAAUCAAUGCACGCUGUUCAAGUUUCACUCGCAACUGUAUUUGCACAUGCUUACUGUACCACACCCAGUGCUGUCUCAGAUGGACUUACUAAUCAUAAAGUCACACAUCGAUUUCUUAGUGUCACUCUCCUCGUGUCACUUAAAGAAAUAUUUUUUGCAAGUUAGACAGUGUGCAGGAUUUUUGUAAUUUUAUGAACUUCUCACUCCUCUCCUACGCACCUGUCCCUUGAAGUAGAUGUGUGAAGCCCUUUCUUCACUUUCCUCUUCUUGUGAACCAUGUUUGUUUCCUUUUCCUUUUUAUCAAAUAGGUUACUUACAGCAACAGACAACUAGUUUGGCCCACUGUUAGUCAUCAAAUAGCUACUCUGAUACUUCAGCAACAUACACAUUUCAUUACAUUAAUCACUGCAUAUACUUCAUUGUGCCCAUUAUUAAACAAUCACUGAAUAGCCAACGUUUUCAAUUUUUUUAAUUGUCUGUUUCAGUCUGGGUUGUGCAGGUAUGUAGUAGCCGAGGGCUGCACAGAGCAUACAUAUUUUUAAAAGCAAA